UUGAGGCAAAACUGAGCACAAUUGUGCAGGGGAAUCCAUGCCUCAUGCCGCUCUCCAGCCUGCUCUGGGUGUUCCUGGCCUUCACCUUCUCUGGAUCCAGUGUAGCCCAGAAAGUUAUUCAAGACCAGCCAGACACAUCCAGUCCAGUUGGGGAGUCAGUUACCCUGAAAUGUCGGUAUGAAACAAGUCAGAGCAGUUAUAGCAUUUUUUGGUACAAGCAGCUUCCCAGUGGAGAGAUGAUUUUCCUUACAAGGGAUGGCCGCUACUCUAUAAAUGUUGAGAGAUCACGUAAAUCAUCCAGCCUCACCAUUUCAACUUUACAAUUGGAAGAUUCUGCAAAGUACUUCUGUGCUCUCUGGGAACUCACAGUGCUUGAAGUAAUAGGAAAAGCUGAACAAAAACCCCCAAGCUUAAUAAGAGAAAGCCUCUCUGCUGUAGGACCCUAGCUGAAAUACACACCUGCAGAUCCCAGACAAUAAAUGGUAAUCCUGUGGUUGCUUCAUCUGUGGUCUGGAUCAGAAGAUUUAAUUAUAAAUAAAAGCUCCUUCCGUGUCAUAUGGAAGCAGGUGUCCAGAGUAACUUUCUCCUGGUACAUUCUCCUCUUGAAUUUUUGACUUUAAAUCAACCAUACAGAACAUGUGUAAAGUUGUCUAAAUUUGAAAA